UACGGAGGGUGCGAGCGUUAUCCGGAAUUACUGGGUUUAAAGGGUGCGUAGGCGGCGCAGUAAGUCAGGAGUGAAAGUUUGCGGCUCAACCGUAAAAUUGCUUUUGAUACUGCUGUGCUAGAAUUAGGAUGAGGUCAGCGGAAUGUGGCAUGUAGCGGUGAAAUGCAUAGAUAUGCCAUAGAACACCAAUUGCGAAGGCAGCUGGCUAGACCUAUAUUGACGCUGAGGCACGAAAGUGUGGGGAUCAAACAGG
rnacentral:rRNA from 1 species